AAGAAAGUGACAGAAUGGUCAUGUGUCCGGCUUGAAACCGGGUUAAGGGGGUUCAAUUCCUUCCUUUCUCG
rnacentral:tRNA from 1 species